rnacentral:misc_RNA from 1 species
UCCGGUUUGACACCGGCAGUCCCGCUAGAGUGCGACCGCCCGAAGGCGAUUUGGCAACUAGAGGCAGGGGUUUCGCUCGUUAGAGGACUUAACCCGACACUUCACAGCACGAGCUGACGACAGCCAUGCAGCACCUGUGCACGUUCCACCCUUGCGGGUGUCACUCCCCUUUCAGAGAGCUAAUCCGUGCAUGUCAAGCCUUGGAUAAGGUUCUUCGCGUUGCUUCGAAUUAAGCCACAUGCUCCACCGCUUGUGUGAGCCCCCGUCAAUUCCUUUGAGUUUUAGCCUUGCGACCGUACUCCCCAGGCGGUGCACUAAGUAGUUUUCCUUCGACCCUGCCGGCGUCAGAGCCGCCAAGGUCUAGUGCACAUCGUUUACGGCGUGGACUAC